rnacentral:rRNA from 1 species
UUAAGCGACUAAGCGUACACGGUGGAUGCCCUGGCAGUCAGAGGCGAUGAAGGACGUGCUAAUCUGCGAUAAGCGCCGGUAAGGUGAUAUGAACCGUUAUAACCGGCGAUUUCCGAAUGGGGAAACCCAGUGUGAUUCGUCACACUAUCAUUAACUGAAUCCAUAGGUUAAUGAGGCGAACCGGGGGAACUGAAACAUCUAAGUACCCCGAGGAAAAGAAAUCAACCGAGAUUCCCCCAGUAGCGGCGAGCGAACGGGGAGGAGCCCAGAGCCUGAAUCAGCAUGUGUGUUAGUGGAAGCGUCUGGAAAGGUGCGCGAUACAGGGUGACAGCCCCGUACACAAAAGCGCAUGUGCUGUGAGCUCGAUGAGUAGGGCGGGACACGUGGUAUCCUGUCUGAAUAUGGGGGGACCAUCCUCCAAGGCUAAAUACUCCUGACUGACCGAUAGUGAACCAGUACCGUGAGGGAAAGGCGAAAAGAACCCCGGCGAGGGGAGUGAAAAAGAACCUGAAACCGUGUACGUACAAGCAGUGGGAGCACAGGUUUACCUGUGUGACUGCGUACCUUUUGUAUAAUGGGUCAGCGACUUAUAUUCUGUAGCAAGGUUAACCGUAUAGGGGAGCCGUAGGGAAACCGAGUCUUAACCGGGCGUUAAGUUGCAGGGUAUAGACCCGAAACCCGGUGAUCUAGCCAUGGGCAGGUUGAAGGUUGGGUAACACUAACUGGAGGACCGAACCGACUAAUGUUGAAAAAUUAGCGGAUGACCUGUGGCUGGGGGUGAAAGGCCAAUCAAACCGGGAGAUAGCUGGUUCUCCCCGAAAGCUAUUUAGGUAGCGCCUCGUGAAUUCAUCUCCGGGGGUAGAGCACUGUUUCGGCUAGGGGGCCAUCCCGGCUUACCAACCCGAUGCAAACUGCGAAUACCGGAGAAUGUUAUCACGGGAGACACACGGCGGGUGCUAACGUCCGUCGUGAAGAGGGAAACAACCCAGACCGCCAGCUAAGGUCCCAAAGUCAUGGUUAAGUGGGAAACGAUGUGGGAAGGCCCAGACAGCCAGGAUGUUGGCUUAGAAGCAGCCAUCAUUUAAAGAAAGCGUAAUAGCUCACUGGUCGAGUCGGCCUGCGCGGAAGAUGUAACGGGGCUAAACCAUGCACCGAAGCUGCGGCAGCGAACGUAUCACUUAAAGCGAUUCAGCGGGUUACGAUUGACGGAGCGAAGCGACGUCAAAGCGUAUACAAAGUCGAGUCGGUUUAGGAUACGUUCGUUGGGUAGGGGAGCGUUCUGUAAGCCCGUGAAGGUGGCCUGUGAGGGUUGCUGGAGGUAUCAGAAGUGCGAAUGCUGACAUAAGUAACGAUAAAGCGGGUGAAAAGCCCGCUCGCCGGAAGACCAAGGGUUCCUGUCCAACGUUAAUCGGGGCAGGGUGAGUCGACCCCUAAGGCGAGGCCGAAAGGCGUAGUCGAUGGGAAACGGGUUAAUAUUCCCGUACUUGGUGUUACUGCGAAGGGGGGACGGAGAAGGCUAUGUUGGCCGGGCGACGGUUGUCCCGGUUUAAGCGUGUAGGUGUGUGUUCCAGGUAAAUCCGGUUCACUUUAACACUGAGGCGUGACGACGAGGCACUACGGUGCUGAAGCAACAAAUGCCCUGCUUCCAGGAAAAGCCUCUAAGCAUCAGGUAACAUCAAAUCGUACCCCAAACCGACACAGGUGGUCAGGUAGAGAAUACCAAGGCGCUUGAGAGAACUCGGGUGAAGGAACUAGGCAAAAUGGUGCCGUAACUUCGGGAGAAGGCACGCUGACACGUAGGUGAAGUGAUUUACUCAUGGAGCUGAAGUCAGUCGAAGAUACCAGCUGGCUGCAACUGUUUAUUAAAAACACAGCACUGUGCAAACACGAAAGUGGACGUAUACGGUGUGACGCCUGCCCGGUGCCGGAAGGUUAAUUGAUGGGGUCAGCGCAAGCGAAGCUCCUGAUCGAAGCCCCGGUAAACGGCGGCCGUAACUAUAACGGUCCUAAGGUAGCGAAAUUCCUUGUCGGGUAAGUUCCGACCUGCACGAAUGGCGUAAUGAUGGCCAGGCUGUCUCCACCCGAGACUCAGUGAAAUUGAACUCGCUGUGAAGAUGCAGUGUACCCGCGGCAAGACGGAAAGACCCCGUGAACCUUUACUAUAGCUUGACACUGAACAUUGAGCCUUGAUGUGUAGGAUAGGUGGGAGGCUUUGAAGUGUGGACGCCAGUCUGCAUGGAGCCGACCUUGAAAUACCACCCUUUAAUGUUUGAUGUUCUAACGUGGACCCGUAAUCCGGGUUGCGGACAGUGUCUGGUGGGUAGUUUGACUGGGGCGGUCUCCUCCUAAAGAGUAACGGAGGAGCACGAAGGUUGGCUAAUCCUGGUCGGACAUCAGGAGGUUAGUGCAAUGGCAUAAGCCAGCUUGACUGCGAGCGUGACGGCGCGAGCAGGUGCGAAAGCAGGUCAUAGUGAUCCGGUGGUUCUGAAUGGAAGGGCCAUCGCUCAACGGAUAAAAGGUACUCCGGGGAUAACAGGCUGAUACCGCCCAAGAGUUCAUAUCGACGGCGGUGUUUGGCACCUCGAUGUCGGCUCAUCACAUCCUGGGGCUGAAGUAGGUCCCAAGGGUAUGGCUGUUCGCCAUUUAAAGUGGUACGCGAGCUGGGUUUAGAACGUCGUGAGACAGUUCGGUCCCUAUCUGCCGUGGGCGCUGGAGAACUGAGGGGGGCUGCUCCUAGUACGAGAGGACCGGAGUGGACGCAUCACUGGUGUUCGGGUUGUCAUGCCAAUGGCACUGCCCGGUAGCUAAAUGCGGAAGAGAUAAGUGCUGAAAGCAUCUAAGCACGAAACUUGCCCCGAGAUGAGUUCUCCCUGAGACUUAGAGUCUCCUGAAGGAACGUUGAAGACGACGACGUUGAUAGGCCGGGUGUGUAAGCGCAGCGAUGCGUUGAGCUAACCGGUACUAAUGAACCGUGAGGCUUAACCU